UACGGGGGGAGCAAGCGUUGUUCGGAUUUAUUGGGCGUAAAGAGCGUGUAGGCGGCCAGAUAAGUCCGCUGUGAAAUCUCGAGGCUCAACUUCGAGCUGUCGGUGGAAACUAUCUGGCUAGAGUCCGGAAGAGGAGAAUGGAAUUCCUGGUGUAGCGGUGAAAUGCGCAGAUAUCGGGAAGAACACCCGUGGCUAAGGCGGCUCUCUAGUACGGUACUGACGCUGAGACGCGAAAACGUGGGGAGCGAACAGG
rnacentral:rRNA from 1 species